GUCUGUAAUGAUGAGAAAGGUUUUUGAUCACUCACGCUGGUGGAUUGUAUUGGACCGGUAAUAAUCUUUUACCGGUGGUGAUGAGGAUGCCGUGAGCAGUGCUUCUAAUCUCGAAUCUUUUUACAGCAGCAUGUUGUAAAUGGAGGGGAUAGCGAACAGCUUGCUCGAUGGCGCUCGACUAUCUGCUGUCUCCUUUUCUCUCGAAAUGUCUCCUUCGAGGAAAGGAGACAGCAGAUAGUCAAGUGUCGAUCACUCGCUGCUGUAAGAUUCGAGACUGAAAGCACUGCCCGUGAGCAGGAUUGGGCAAGUCAUGGUGGAAAGAAAGUAAGAUGUGCUAUUACGCAUAUUUCUGAACAGUCAAUGAAAUUUUGUUCCAUUGGCCGCCAUUUUUUAGUGGCUAAGUUAAAUGACGUAUCAGAGUACAAACCUAAACGUCCGAAAUUAAGGUUAAGUGCUCUCUGAUAUAAACACAAGAGUGUAGGAAUAAAAAACUUAAAAAUUAAAAAAUGGAGGCCGCUGGUACAAUGCGCAGAACGAUACGAAAACGCGUCUUCAGUAUGAGCACACCUUUCCUUCCACCAUGGGGCAAGUAUUAUACUCGAUGUAUUAUACGAGGUUUCCUCAAUGUAUUAAAGCUAGUAUAAUACGAUGUGAUUUUAACCAUGUAUUAUACGUAUACUAAUAUGGCUCCGGCACAAAGGCAAGAAGUGACGCGAUAGCCAAUCAACAUGCCGUUUUUCCUUAAGAACCAGAUGUUUUGGCUACUGCAUCAAUAAUAAAAAGAAGUAAAACAAAUUUCAUUAGUUGUAAAAUAUGAAUCGUGGAGGCAAGCCGUGCCAUAAAUUUGGGGAGGAAGGAGAUUUUGUAAAGUAUUAUGCAAACCAGAAACUUUUGGUACAUUGCAAUUAUUGCAAAAAAAUUAUACGGUACAGUGCCAAAAGUAGGUUAAGGGACCACAAAUAAGGGCUACAACUACAAGUUCGGUAUGUUCCUGCCAGAUACAAAUGUUAGUUAAUGUAACAUUUUUAUAAAGGCUGAAUUGUAAUAUAAAUGUAAUACAAAUAUAAACUUGAUUUUUAGAGGU